rnacentral:rRNA from 1 species
GACGAACGCUGGCGGCGUGCUUAACACAUGCAAGUCGAACGAUGAACUUGGAGCUUGCUCUGGGGGAUUAGUGGCGAACGGGUGAGUAACACGUGAGUAACCUGCCCUGGACUCUGGGAUAACUUCGAGAAAUCGGAGCUAAUACCGGAUAGGACCUUGCACCGCAUGGUGUGGGGUGGAAAGUUUUUCGGUUUGGGAUGGACUCGCGGCCUAUCAGCUUGUUGGUGAGGUAAUGGCUCACCAAGGCGUCGACGGGUAGCCGGCCUGAGAGGGUGCCCGGCCACACUGGGACUGAGGCACGGGCCAGACUCCUACGGGAGGCAGCAGUGGGGAAUAUUGCACAAUGGGCGCAAGCCUGAUGCAGCAACGCCGCGUGCGGGAUGACGGCCUUCGGGUUGUAAACCGCUUUUAGUAGGGAAGAAGCCUUCGGGUGACGGUACCUGCAGAAAAAGGACCGGCUAACUACGUGCCAGCCGCCGCCGUAAUAC